UACCUGGUCUUGACAUCCACGGAAUUAGGCAGAGAUGCCUUAGUGCCUUCGGGAACCGUGAGACAGGUGCUGCAUGGCUGUCGUCAGCUCGUGUUGUGAAAUGUUGGGUUAAGUCCCGCAACGAGCGCAACCCUUAUCCUUUGUUGCCAGCGGUCCGGCCGGGAACUCAAAGGAGACUGCCAGUGAUAAAGGGGAGGAAGGUGGGGAUGACGUCAAGUCAUCAUGGCCCUUACGACCAGGGCUACACACGUGCUACAAUGGCGCAUACAAAGAGAAGCGACCUCGCGAGAGCAAGCGGACCUCAUAAAGUGCGUCGUAGUCCGGAUUGGAGUCUGCAACUCGACUCCAUGAAGUCGGAAUC
rnacentral:rRNA from 1 species